rnacentral:rRNA from 1 species
AUUGAACGCUGGCGGCAGGCUUAACACAUGCAAGUCGAGCGGAGAGAGGUAGCUUGCUACUGAUCUUAGCGGCGGACGGGUGAGUAAUGCUUAGGAAUCUGCCUAUUAGUGGGGGACAACAUUUCGAAAGGAAUGCUAAUACCGCAUACGUCCUACGGGAGAAAGCAGGGGAUCUUCGGACCUUGCGCUAAUAGAUGAGCCUAAGUCGGAUUAGCUAGUUGGUGGGGUAAUGGCUCACCUAGGCGACGAUCCCUAGCUGGUCUGAGAGGAUAACCAGCCACGCGGGAAAUGAAACAGGGGCCAGACUCCGACGGGAGGCAGCAGUGGGGAAUAUUGGACAAGGGGGGGAACCCUGAUCCAGCCAUGCCGCGUGUGUGAAGAAGGCCUUAUGGUUGUAAAGCACUUUAAGCGAGGAGGAGGCUCUUUUGGUUAAUACCCAAGAUGAGUGGACGUUACUCGCAGAAUAAGCACCGGCUAACUCUGUGCCAGCAGCCGCCGCCG